rnacentral:rRNA from 1 species
GACGAACGCUGGCGGCGUGCUUAACACAUGCAAGUCGAACGGAAAGGCCCUGCUUUUGUGGGGUGCUCGAGUGGCGAACGGGUGAGUAACACGUGAGUAACCUGCCCUUGACUUUGGGAUAACUUCAGGAAACUGGGGCUAAUACCGGAUAGGAGCUCCUGCUGCAGGGUGGGGGUUGGAAAGUUUCGGCGGUUGGGGAUUGACUAGCGGCUUAUCAGCUUGUUGGUGGGGUAGUGGCUUACCAAGGCUUUGACGGGUAGCAGGCCUGAGAGGGUGACCGGCCACAUUGGGACUGAGCUACGGCCCAGACUCCUACGGGAGGCAGCAGUGGAGAAUAUUGCACAAUGGGCGGAAGCCUGAUGCAGCAACGCCGCGUGCGGGAUGACGGCCUUCGGGUUGUAAACCGCUUUCGCCUGUGACGAAGCGUGAGUGACGGUAAUGGGUAAAGAAGCACCGGCUAACUACGUG